rnacentral:sRNA from 1 species
AAAAAAGUUUAUAAGAUCCACUACUACAUAGAUUAAUGGAUGGUGCUCCUUUCACAAAUGAUUCUUCUUAUGUAGUUUCUUUGGAGAUUGUGUUUACAUGAUCUGAAAGACUUAUAACUAGUUUUUUUAGUUGAAUGUAUUCGUUAAGAGUUACAUUAUAGAUGAGAAAGUGUACAUAUCGUAUAUUCUCUGAUUCUUCGUCAUUCUUACCAGUUACAUCUUUUCAAAUCUUUUUCUCUUUGAUGUGAGAAGCCACUUGCCCGUAUAAACACUGAUUAAGAUACCGGCUGGAUAUAUAGUGUAAGCGAACGCCGUAAAAGUCGUGUGAGAAAGUCGUACAUCAGUAUGGAUAUUUUGAUUUUUGCUUUAUACCUUUAAUUACUUAAAAUUAGGACGUAAUUCGUGGAAUUAAUUUCUCACAAUAGUCGUUAACAUCUUUGUUAACCAACCACUAAAUAAAAUAUUAUCA